AACGAACGCUGGCGGCAUGCCUAACACAUGCAAGUCGAACGAGACCUUCGGGUCUAGUGGCGCACGGGUGCGUAACGCGUGGGAACCUGCCCUUAGGUUCGGAAUAACUCCCCGAAAGGGGUGCUAAUACCGGAUAAUGUCUUCGGACCAAAGAUUUAUCGCAUUUGGAUGGGCCCGCGUUGGAUUAGCUAGUUGGUAGGGUAAAAGCCUACCAAGGCGACGAUCCAUAGCUGGUCUGAGAGGAUGAUCAGCCACACUGGGACUGAGACACGGCCCAGACUCCUACGGGAGGCAGCAGUGGGGAAUAUUGGACAAUGGGCGAAAGCCUGAUCCACCAAUGCCGCGUGAGUGAUGAAGGCCUUAGGGUUGUAAAGCUCUUUUACCCGGGAUGAUAAUGACAGUACCGGGAGAAUAAGCUCCGGCUAACUCCGUG
rnacentral:rRNA from 1 species